rnacentral:rRNA from 1 species
CUUUGCCUUGUCAUUUUCAGGUCCUAUGUCUUUUUUCACAACCUCUUUAAACAUGUUCAGAAUGUUGGAUCAGGUCUUUUUGUACCUAUAGAAAUGAAAUAUCCAACUUUCAGCAACGGAUCUCUUGGCUCUCGCAUCGAUGAAGAACGCAGCGAAAUGCGAUAAGUAAUGUGAAUUGCAGAAUUCAGUGAAUCAUCGAAUCUUUGAACGCAUCUUGCGCUCCUUGGUAUUCCGAGGAGCAUGCCUGUUUGAGUGUCAUUUAACUUCUCAACCACAUCAGAUGAAAUUUUUUUUUGAUUGUGGCUUGGACUUGGGAGUUGUAUGCAGGCCUAAUAAGGUCGGCUCUCCUGAAAUGUAUUAGUGGUAUCUGAGGCUAUUGCUAUAGGUGUGAUAAUUUAUCUAUGCCUUUGGUAUUGCUGCAUGAACAGAUUACACUGCUUCUAACAAAGAAAAAAAACUUGACAAAUUUGACCUCAAAUCAGGUAGGACUACCCGCUGAACUUAAGCAUAUCAAUAAGCGGAGGAAAAGAACCUAACAAGGAUUCCCCUAGUAACUGCGAGUGAAGCGGGAAAAGCUCAAAUUUGAAAUCUGGCAGUUUCUUGAACUGUCCGAAUUGUAAUCUAGA